GGGGAAAUUAGCUUAAACACCCUAUUGUUUGAGCGUGAGGAUACUUUUCGCCCUGAUUUUUCAUAAAAUUGCUCUUUGACCACGCUCAAAAGAUCUUGCAAGGAAUGUAAGUAUUUUCACGCUCAAAUAUAUAAGGUGUUUAACGUAAUUUAUCU
rnacentral:pre_miRNA from 1 species